rnacentral:lncRNA from 1 species
CUUAGCUCAGGCCAGACCCUCACUGCUAAGGAGUUGCCAUUAUCAUCCCCGAUAUGGAGGCGGGGAACCCAAAACACCAAGAGCAGUGGGUGCUUAGGAAGCCACAGAGCUGGGAGUAGAGCCCCAGCAGCCUGAUCCAGAGCCCCUGUUCUUCACCACCACCCUGCCCUCCUCCAGGGAGCACAAUGGGGGUCCCGGAGCCUCUUUCCAUCUGUUGGAUCUCGGUGAGAGGGUCUCACUCUGUCACCCAGGCUGGAGCUCUGUGGCACGAUUGCACUGCAGCCUCAGAUUCCCAGGCUCAAGCAAUCCUCCUGCCUCAGCCUCCCAAGUAGCUGGGACUACAGCAUGCAGAUAUUCCCGAAAGCGGACUAAACCUGAUAUUUACAAAAACAUAGUUUUAAAUGAUCAAG